rnacentral:rRNA from 1 species
GAUAGGCCAGGCUGAAGACUUUGCCGGAUUAGCUGAGAGGUGGUGCAUGGCCGUCGUCAGUUCGUACUGUGAAGCAUCCUGUUAAGUCAGGCAACGAGCGAGACCCACGCCCACAGUUGCCAGCGUACUCUCUGGAGUGACGGGUACACUGUGGGGACCGCCGCUGCUAAAGCGGAGGAAGGAAUGGGCAACGGUAGGUCAGUAUGCCCCGAAUAUCCCGGGCUACACGCGAGCUACAAUGGUUGGUACAAUGGGUAUCUACCCCGAAAGGGGACGGGAAUCUCCUAAAACCAAUCUUAGUUCGGAUUGAGGGCUGCAACUCGCCCUCAUGAAGCUGGAAUCCGUAGUAAUCGCGUUUCAACAGAACGCGGUGAAUACGUCCCUGCUCCUUGCACACA